rnacentral:rRNA from 1 species
AGAGUGAACGCUGGCGGUAGGCCUAACACAUGCAAGUCGAACGGCAGCACAGGAGAGCUUGCUCUCUGGGUGGCGAGUGGCGGACGGGUGAGGAAUACAUCGGAAUCUACCUUUUCGUGGGGGAUAACGUAGGGAAACUUACGCUAAUACCGCAUAAGACCUUCGGGUGAAAGCCGGGGACCUUCGGGCCUGGCGCGGAUAGAUGAGCCGAUGUCGGAUUAGCUUGUUGGCGGGGUAAAAGCCCACCAAGGCGACGAUCCGUAGCUGGUCUGAGAGGAUGAUCAGCCACACUGGAACUGAGACACGGUCCAG